GUGCCAGCAGCCGCGGUAAGACAGAGGGUGCAAACGUUGCUCGGAAUCACUGGGCGUAAAGGGCGUGUAGGCGGGCGGAUAAGUCGGGCGUGAAAUCCCUGGGCUCAACCCAGGAACUGCGCUCGAAACUGUCCACCUUGAGUACCGGAGAGGAAGGUGGAAUUCCUGGUGUAGAGGUGAAAUUCGUAGAUAUCAGGAGGAACACCAGUGGCGAAGGCGGCCUUCUGGACGGUAACUGACGCUGAGACGCGAAAGCGUGGGGAGCAAACAGGAUUAGAAACCCCGGUAGUCC
rnacentral:rRNA from 1 species